CCAGAAGAGGAAGGCAGUCAGAGAACAAGGCUGAAGAUGCACACCAAAUGUGCAGCAAGCAAGACCUACAGACUGGAUCCUGUGGGGACAAGCGCAAGAUGGAACCUGGGGACACGGCAAUGACUUGCUCCAAUUUCUAUUUCACACACAUUAUUAGAGGAUUUGAAAUAGGAUGCUCCACCCCACCUCACCCCAUCGCCCGCUGCCUCAUGGAGAGGGCAGGACAUAGCACUCCUGAGAGGACCCCACAGACUCCAAGGUUCUGAGCACCACUAAGAUCAGCAAGGCCAACUCUACUGUGCUACCCAGGCGAGGUGCAUGGCCUGCUCUCCAGAGUGAUGCAGGCAGUGAGGAUCAGGACCAGCUCACCUGCUUUCUUGACCUCUCAACUCUCUCGUGACAGAUGGGUGACAGAGCCAACUCUCCCAUACCCGUGCUCCUGGUGCUGAUUCACCCACAGCCCUGCCACUAGGGAUAGCUCCACUGUGCUCUCCAGAGUGUUGCUGCAGGUGAGAGAAGGGGCCAGUUCUACACAGCCCCUGGACAUCCACAUGACUCCCAACGGCUGCCCAGACCAGGGACAUCUCCAUGCUCUCUAGUGGUGAUAUAAGCCAUGUACAUCGACACUGACCCCUACCACUGCAUGGCCACACAUUAAGGCAUGCAUGGCUCUCAAGGGCACCUCCUGCUAGUACCUCACCAUGCCCCAGGCGGCCGGGCUGUCCACUCACAACAGGCUACUUCUCUCCACCCUCGAGUGUUCCGUUUCAUCUCUCUUCACAAAGUUCAAGUUGCUCUACUUCUCUCCCAUCUGACCACCAAGUACUCGCACAUUGUGGUGGCUCCUGCUGCAGGGUGGCUACAUGGCUGGCCGGCCCCUGGAUGGCAUCAUCUGUCAGCCCUUGAUGAUGUGGAAGCAAGCAGGUGUGUGUGGGUGGCAUGGCAGUUUGCAGGUCUCCAUCUGGUCAGUCUUCCUCAGCCCACAUUGUGCUGCCUGGAUUUGAUUUGAUUUUUACGAGACCUAGGCAGAAGACUGCUUUGGCCACCAAGCCAGGCAUCAACCUGUGUGAACAAAGGACUGUCAUCCGCUCUGCCCCGACUGAUAUACGAGCAGCACCACCAACAAGAUCUUUGCCCACUGCCAAAUUUGUUGGUUUGGGUUUUGGUUUUGUGGGGGGAGGGGUCUUUUGGAAGGAGGCUGUGAGGGCAGAGGAUAAAUACGAAGA